rnacentral:lncRNA from 1 species
UUGAAUUUGUUGUAUUUAGAGCUAUAUAUUAAUUUGAUGUUGAAGCUGAAAUUCAGGAACUUAAUAUAAUAGGGUUAGGAAAGUUCAUCACCUUCAGGAUGGCGACUUUCAGAGAAGAAUUGCAUUUUGUGAUUGGUAUGUCAAUAAGUGCAGAUUGGACGAGAACUUCUAUAAUAACAUUAUUUGGACAGAUGAAAGCCGAAUAGACACUUCAGGAAUAUAUAAUAGGUAUAAUUCCUAUUACUGGCCUACAGAAAACCCCCAUGUUGUAGUAAGCGCGAACAGACAGGGACGGCUGGGCUUCAAUAUUUGGGAUGGAAUUUUUCGAGGUAAAAAUUAUUUACAUCGCCGAUCCAGACCCACCAUCAUUCCCUUCGUUUUGCCUGGCAUUUUCCGCCUGGAACGCCUGUUGUUGCUGAAGAAAUUUAGCUGCUGCCGGGAAACCUUGCAAAUCGAAACCUGGGGGA